rnacentral:rRNA from 1 species
GAUGAACGCUGGCGGCGUGCCUAAUACAUGCAAGUCGAGCGAACAGACGAGGAGCUUGCUCCUCUGACGUUAGCGGCGGACGGGUGAGUAACACGUGGAUAACCUACCUAUAAGUCUGGGAUAACUUCGGGAAACAGGAGCUAAUACCGGAUAAUAUAUUGAACCGCAUGGUUCAAUAGAGAAAGACGGUUUUGCUGUCACUUAUAGAUGGAUCCGCGCCGCAUUAGCUAGUUGGUAAGGUAACGGCUUACCAAGGCAACGAUGCGUAGCUGACCUGAGAGGGUGAUCGGCCACACUGGAACUGAGACACGGUCCAGACUCCUACGGGAGGCAGCAGUAGGGAAUCUUCCGCAAUGGGCGAAAGCCUGACGGAGCAACGCCGCGUGAGUGAUGAAGGUCUUCGGAUCGUAAAACUCUGUUAUUAGGGAAGAACAAAUGUGUAAGUAACUAUGCACGUCUUGACGGUACCUAAUCAGAAAGCCACGGCUAACUACGUG